rnacentral:lncRNA from 9 species
CUGCAGGUUUGGGGUGGAAAUGCUACCUAAUUGGGUGGUGAUGAUCAUGAUACAAUGAUAAAUGCCGUGAAAUUCAAUGAGUUAAAAAAAGAAAUUGCUUGCAUAUCUACACCCUCGUCACAAACUCUCAGCAGAGGAGUUUAGGAAAGGAAGAGGUUGAGAAAUCAAGACAACACCCUCGUGGACAGUGACAUUCACAAAAAUAAAACACCUGGGAGUACAUUCUGACCCAGCAGGUCAAAGACCCGGAUUCGGAAAACUGAAAGAACUUGGUGAAAGACGCUGAAGGCAAUACAAAGAAAUGAACCGCUCAAGGAGUUCCCAUCGUGGCUGUGUGCUGUGCUGCGUUAGUGUCACGCUGCUGAGACUUGGCAUGGGGUUGGGGGUGAGCUGGAGCAGCCCAGAGGUACCCUUGGGGAGCUUGGUGGAAGGAGGAAGCCCGGCGAAGGGGACCCCAGGAAGUGACCUCACUUCCCUGGCAACAGAGCCCAACAGAACUUGGAACCUGGGUGGCCAGGCACCCAUUUCUCCAGGAAAGGACAGAGGAAGGAUGGACUUGCUCUGUUGCGCCCCCAUCUCCCGAGGCCGAAGCCGCAGGAGAGGGCCCAGAGGAGGAAACCUCAUCGAAAGCAGCAGACGAUGGAUCAGCACCCAGGGCAGACGCCUUCGGGCCUUUGCCCGCAGGGGCCCAGAGAGCCCCCCACCUGAGCCCCGCCAGGAGCUGGGCGAGGAAGGCAGAAGGUCUCCAGUUGAAACGCCCCCCAGGCCGCCCCCCAGGGGCCUCUCCCGAGCUCACAGGGAGCUCAGAACAUCCGGCUCUGAGACCGAGGACAGAGACCACCUGGGCCUGAGACCCCUGGAUGGCCUGGCCCCCCCUGAGGCCCAGCCUGAAGCUCCCGCAGGAGACCCGCAGCCAGAGGCCAAGACACCACCCGGGCAGGAAGAACCUGCAGCCUCUCUGGCCCCAGCCCCAGACACUGACGGGCAUUUUCCUCCACUGGAGGAAAACAGUUCUCCGGCUCCUGCAGGAGACCAAGGGCCACAGGAGAAUCCAGCAGCAGCCCUGCAGGAAGAGCCUGCACUGCCUGCUCCAGCGGCCCCUAGACUAAGUCCUGAGCUGGCUCAGGCAAGAGCCCCAGGCCAAUUUCCAAAACCCCCUUCCCCAAAGCCCCCUCCGCCCCUGCAAGUGCCCUCCCCAGCAGCUCCCCAAAAGCCCCACUCACCCUCUCCCCCUCCCGAAAUGUACUCUCCUUCCCCUCUCGCCAUUUGUCUUUGGAUGUGUAUUGAUUUCCUAUUUCUCUUCCAUGUUAUGUAUGGUGUAAUUUACUUUAUGUUUUAGAAAUAAAAUUUGCAAGUUGCACCGUGUCGUCUUUUAUGCCAUGCAAUUCAGGAGCUUGCAGUCCAUUCCCAGGGCUGUGCAACCACCACGCCUGUCUCACUGCAGCCUCUUUCAUCCCCCACCCCAAGAAAGCCUUGUAUCCAAGGCACAGACUCAGCAGGCUCCCCUCCCCCCGCCUCUCCCGAGCCUUCAUCCUCUUGGUCUCUGUUUCUGGACCUGUUCCGAUGUUCCCCUCAAGGAAACCAUCCCAAAGGUGGCUUUGACUGUCUGGCCACUGACAGGAAAAGGGGGCUGGUGACCUGGCCUUUGGGGUUUUGGUGAAAAUACAGCCCUUUUCUGAUUUGGACUCCCUCUCGCACACAGCUCCUUAUCGCCCACCUGAGGCAUCUGUGGUUUUCAUUCUUUCCAAGCUAACUGGGAAACAGGCCAAGAUGCCAGUAACGGGGAAACACCUGCCAUCC